CAGGGCUUUAUUUUCAUAUGAGGGAGUGACCAACAAUCUCAAACUCACAGAUUCAGGAGCUGGAGGUUUGACAGAAUUGGUUGGGAAAUUUCACAGCAGCAGGCCCAUGUAUGGCCUCUGCAGGGUGGGACUGACAGAAACAGGACAACCACAGAUUGUCAUGGUUUGCUGGGUUGGUAAUGAUGUGGAUGAGCACCGCAGAACUGAAUGUGCCAGCCAUGUCCCUGCCAUCAAGACCUUCUUCAAGGU